CCCCCCCCCCCCCCCCCCUCUCUUUCUUCCCACCAAAAAAAAGAAAUCUUGAAGGAAUAUUUCAUUUGUCUUGUCUUUUCAACGUUGAGAGUUGAAUUCAGCGUAGAUCAUGUUUUCUGAUUCUAAGGUAGAAAACGUGGAACGAUGAAUGGUGAGUUUGCUUUGUGAUAAAUCUUAGGUCUUGAAAGCAUCAAUGUGGAUUCAGUAAUGCAAAGAAUUUUUAGUCCCUUUUGGAAAAGAAUUUAGAGAGUAAGCUUGUAAAAUCUUUAUUCUCGAAAAGAUUUUAUUCAGAGCAUUUAAUUGUCAA
rnacentral:misc_RNA from 1 species